UUAUCACCAGGGUAAAUAGAAACCAGUAUUAUUACCUAACCAAAUAAGAAAAAAAGUAGCAGUAAAAAUAAAUAUAAUGAAAAGAAAACAAUUUAAAACUUUUGGGCUAAAUAAUGCUAUUAUUUUCCCAGAGAUGCUGCACCUGAGAUCUACUGUCUCUUUAUCAAUAGGGGAUAUUUGUAAGUGUCUGAGAGGUGUUUUUGUGUUUUGUCUGUUUGUUUGUUUGUUUGUUUGUUUGUUUUUGAGAUGGAGUCUCAUUCUGUCACCCAAGCUGGAGGACAGUAGCAGGAUCUCAGCUCACUGCAACCUCAGCCUCCUGGGUUCAAGCGAUUCUCCUGACUCAGCCUCCCAAGUAGCUAAGAUUACAGGCAUGCACCACCACAUCCAGCUAACUUUUGUAUUUUUAGUAGAGACGAGGUUUCUCCAAUGUUGGCCAGGCUGGUCUCAAACUCCUGACCUCAGGUGAUCCACCCGCCUCAGCCUCCCAAAGUGCUGGGAUUACAGGCACGAACCACUGCGCCUGGCCAUCUGAGAGGUGUUAAAGACACAACAGCACCCAGCUAAGACUUUCUCCAAAGAGUCAAAAGAGAACUGUAAAGGAAAUUGCUGUCACAUUAUCUGGCAGGAUGCUGUUUGAAACUAUGCUUGUGGGUGAAGUAAACACAUCGCCAGCUCGCCGCCCCCUCCCCCCCGCCCCCAACCACACUCUGGGAAACUUUAAGGUGGAGACUUGCAGUUUCUUCCAGUCCCUCGGUCCCACCCACCUGCACUCCUCGCCCUCCAGCAGCUUGCGGUAGGUGGCGAUCUCAAUAUCCAGGGACAGCUUCACGCUCAAAAGCUCUUGGUACUCGCGCAGCAUCCGUGCCAGCUCCUCCUUGGCCUGCUGCAGGGCGCCCUCCAGCUCAUCCAGCUUGGCCCUGGCAUCCUUGAGGGCACAGUCCCCCCGCUGCUCGGCGUCAGCGAUGGCCGUCUCCAGGUUGGCACACUGGGGUCAGGAGGUAGCAUUUCUCCCUGAGUUCCUCCCUGGGCCUCGCUUCACCUCUCCCAUGCUCUCAAUGGUUGAGCCCUCCUCUGUCCUGCCCCAUGUCCUGGAGCAGAGACCCAGCCACAUCCAGGUGGAGUCCUGUCAACCUGAGACUGAGAGGCUUGCUACGCUGGGCCCCACAGCUUUAUGAAAAUAAUCUGCAAUUGUUCCAAACUUCAGAUGGGAGCUAAGGGUGAGGGAUGAGAGCAGGACCUCCAUUUGAAGAAGGGGAUUCUGAAAUGGAUGCUCAAGAGAAGGAGGGGGCAGGGGGUGCUAAGCAGUUCACCCCUCCCUUAGGAGUGAGUAAGGAAGGCUCCAGUCCCCUUCACCUGCUUCUUCACACUCUCAAUCUCCGAGCGCAGUCUUUGGAUGAGACGGGUCAGCUCUGAGAUCUCAUUUUUGGUGUGUUUCAGGUCAUCCCCAUGCCGGCCGGCUGCUAGCUGCAGCUCCUGGAACUAGAGGAAAAGGAACCAAAGCAAGAACACUGACUCAGGGCUUGGCUGGGAUCAGCCUGGUACAGAGACUGUGCCUGCACUUGCAGAGCCUGGCAGAGUCACAGAGAGUACAUCAGUUCUACUCAGAAUGUGGCUCAAGGGGAAAACAAAACAGGGACCCUUCAGCACUCUGGUGUACUGCUCUGUCUCUGUCACUGGGUGCUCCACCCCAGCAUGGCCCAAGAUUUAGGAUUGUUCCUAAAGAUGUCAAGUUAUCCAGAAAGCAGAGAAGGCAGAAGGGCUUCUCUCUUCACUCCUUGUAUUUUAUCUUUGGUGCCAACCCUAAACAAGGGGCCUUCUCCUGCUUCUCCGCAAGGCUGUGUGAGCAGGAUGCCUCCCCGUACACUGGUUCUGACACCAAGCAGCUUCAUUCUGAGGCAAACAGAUGAACAUCUUCCUGCCACUCCUCUGUCAAGCCACACAAAGCCCUUAGAGUAAAUGCUUCUUUCCCAGAGUCACCUUCUGAUUUUCUGCCUAAAUGCAGUGGAAUUUGAAGUCAGUCACCUAGAUUCUGAUCCAGCUGCGUCACUUGUCAGCUAUUGCCUUUGUGCCCAGGAGAGUGCUGUGCUCCCAGCAAGCUAUGGGCCACCACAGUGAGUCAUGGGGCAGACAAGACAGAGUCUGGAGCAGAGGGCCCUGCAUACUUCACUAUGGGGAGUUUUGCGGCCUCACCUUGGUCUGGUACAGGGCCUCGGCCUCGGCCUUGCUCUUCCGGGCGAUCUCCUCAUACUGGGCACGGACCUCAGCAAUGAUGCUGUCCAGGUCCAGGUUCCGGUUGUUGUCCAUGGACAGGAUGAUGGACGUGUCGCUGAUGUGGGACUGGAUCUGAGCAGUCUCCUGCAGGGGAAACAAGGAAGCAUGAAAUGCCUUCUGUGACCAGAGAAAGGUCCCAAGGUGAUGGCCCUGUCCCAGAGGGAUGGCCCUAGACCAUCCCACACAGAUGGAAGCUGCACUUCCCAAAGCUUGUAAGAACAGAGCUCACAGCCCAGAGGUUCCAAUACCACAUCUGAAAACUGCUGAAUGGGUUUGAAGCAGCCCAGGAAGAAAACAGCCCAUAUGUCUGUCCCCUGAGACAGGACAGGAGUGGGGAAGGUGGAAGACAACAGCCUGGCUGCCACACAUGGGACACUAAGGGGCACAGGAGCCCAGAAAUGCUUGGCCAAUAGGUUGAGGCUUGAAACCAGAUGUACAUAGAGAAGGCAGAAGGGGUAUGAGGACUUCCUACCUCUAUCCCUGGGGAUUCCUGCCCAAGACCCCAGGAAACAUCCCCAGCCACAGAGAGAAGAGAAGCAGGAAUGAGAAUAUGCUUGGCUGAAGUUCAGUGGGAACCCUUUAAGGACUCUGUUUUCCUGGAGGAAGUGAAAGCAGGACAUCCUCAGGGCAGUCAGGGAUGGAUGGGGCACCAGGAUAGAUGGCCACUCCCACCUUUGAUCUACAAAUUUCUCAGCACCCCAAUGCUGGAGGUGCCCUGGACUGCUUAAGUUACAGAUAAGUAAGAAACUGUUCAUCACAUAUCUGUCCUUCCAGAAGACAGAGCCAGAGGUGGGGCAGGGGGAGCCUUACCCCCUCGUACAGACACUUGAAGAACUUGAUUUCUCCAUCCAGGGCAUCCACCUUGGCCUGCAGCUCCACUUUGCUCGUGUAAGCUGCGUCCACGUCCUAUGGAGAAUCCAGAUACCCCUGACCUCACCUUUCUUCAAGCCCAGACAGGCCUCUCCAGCGAACUGACACCUGCAGGCCCUGCCCUAGCUAGCUGCCCAGGACUUCAGAUCCAAGGGGCAGGAACCGGCCUUCCAGCCACAACUUCACUGUCAGACUCACUGCGAAACCUGGGGCAAGUUUCUCAUGCCUCUGGAACUCCUUCUGCCUCUAUUUCUCAGAGAAGGGUGUGAGACUCUAUACCCCACUCAGCCAGUCAUUCAGCCAACAGAGGGAGGCAAGGACAGCCACGGCGAUUUGCCAGAAACUAGCAGAGUUGGAAGGCAAACCUGCAGCCCCUCCCAAAGCCUGUCCUGUUCCCCAGCCAGAGGGGACAUGAGUUGGGACUGACUAUCCACAUCUAGGUUCCUGUCCACAGACAAAGUACUGUGUGCUAAACCAACACCAGGUGUCCCAAAAUGUCCCAAGCAGCAAGCCCUUCAUCUCCUCCUUCAGCACUUUGGCUCCAGGCCCUUCUGCGGGGGGCUCAGACCUCAGCUGCUCCUCUCUCUUAGCCCAGCACCCACUGCUGGGGGACUGAAGGGAACCCAUGCACCCUCCUCACCUUCUUAAGCACCACAAAUUCAUUCUC
ensembl:lncRNA KRT73-AS1 KRT73 antisense RNA 1